CUCUCGCUGUCUUUGGCAAUGGUAGAACUCACACUGGUGAGGUAUCAGGAUCCGGUGGUUCUAGACUUGCCAACUACCGCCCGAGGGUACA
rnacentral:pre_miRNA from 1 species